rnacentral:lncRNA from 1 species
UGGCAACACGGAUGGGCACCAAAGCUGCUUCCAGCAGACCCCAAAGCACAGCCCAGCACCCAAACCAAAUGCUCUCUCCACCUCCAAGCAUUGCACAUAUGCUUGACAGGAGUCCAGGCACAAGACAGACUAGUCCAUGCUGUGUCAGUGCCCAAAGAUAAGCAGCGAGGGUGGUGUGUUCACAAUCCAUUGCUCAGUGACAUCACAGCCUGUUGUAUGUCACUGCAGUCCAUCUGUCCCCACAACACUCACUCCAGCAUCACCUCCCAUUUUGCCUUCUCCUGGGUACCGCUGUUUUCCAUCAGGCUCCGAGGACUGAGGAUACUUGCUCAAUCCUUUCCUCAUUUCCUCUUCUCAAAGACUUGA